UACGGAGGGCGCAAGCGUUGUUCGGAAUCACUGGGCGUAAAGCGCGUGUAGGCGGCUUGGCAAGUCGGGUGUGAAAUCCCGAGGCUCAACCUCGGAACUGCACUCGAAACUGCCUCGCUCGAGUCCCGGAGAGGGUGGCGGAAUUCCAGGUGUAGGGGUGAAAUCCGUAGAUAUCGGGAGGAACACCAGUGGCGAAGGCGGCCACCUGGACGGUGACUGACGCUGAGACGCGAAAGCGUGGGGAGCAAACAGG
rnacentral:rRNA from 1 species